rnacentral:lncRNA from 1 species
CAACAACCUCCCCCCCCCCAAAAAAAGAAAAACCCUUGUCACAUGAUGUCUGCUGAACAUUAAUCUAGGGGAUUAUAUCAUGCAGGCAUCUGAGUGCUUAGACUGCCACACAGAUUCCUUUAAUGUCAUCCUAAAUUGCCUAAGGAACAAAGAGUGCUGUGCACUGCUGUGUUGUUUCAAAGUACACACAGCUACAGCCAAAAUACAAAUUUAGCCUUAAUAUUGAGAAAAGUUAAAUUCAGAAGAGGAUUUCCUAUUGUGCAGUCUAUAGCUGCAGGCUCAAGUGUUCCACCACAAGGCUCAGCGUGUGUGCAGUCCACAGCUCCAGCACGAAACCGACUCGCAUCCCAGCCAGCAGAAGAAUUCCUAGAGAUCCCAUAACUACCACAUGAUUAUAACUGUCACAAAUACCAAGACUCACAGGAGAAAAUCUGGGACUAGAAACUUGAACCACCGUUCAGAACUUGAAACAUGAGGCGAGAUGUCCACAGCAGCAGUGACUCCUACCAGCCACAGCAGCAGCAGCAGUGACAGCACAGCCAUAUCAGGGAAGGCAAUACAAACAGUGCUAACCAGGUUUCUGCCGGCAGCCCCUGAAGGAAUGGAACAGUUUGCUGACAGAGAAGCGUGCAGCAAGGAGCACCGAGAAUUGAUGCUGUCCUCGCCUGCCUGCAUCUGCUGCCGAACAGAGCCGUGUCUGCAGCCCAUCCAUGCCAGCAUCCUGCUGCCCGCUGAGCCAGCUGUGCAGGGCCAUCUCACACAGCACCCAGCUGGAUCGGGCAGCGGGAUCACAGGCUUCUCCCAGAGACCUAAACAGUCUCAGGGCAGAUACAUAACAGUAACAAUCCACUGACCACAGUUAUGAAAUCAUCCCACAUGGCCUGUGGAAGCCUGGAAAAGUUAGAUCCUGAGAGCCAAAUAUUGCUAUCAGAAGACCAGAAUGCUUUUCACUCAUGGUGACAGCAUAGUUUAGUCUAGAUGAAAUCUACGUUUACACGUAAUAAAAGAAAUUACAAAAUAUCUAGUUCUUUAACA